rnacentral:lncRNA from 1 species
AUUUUAUGAAAUGUCGCAACUUUACUACUAUGUAUUAUGCCAAAUCUGUAGAAAACACCUAUGUGACAACGAGUAGCUAAAUAUUUCCAUAUGUGCAGAAAGGUGUAUCUCAGUAAGUUCUUUUUCUCUCCAAAUAGCUACUACUUUAACUCCUCAGAAAUGUGCAGUAUAGGCUCCUGGUUAUUUCGUCCAAUGAAAUCUUUAUGAUAAUGGGCUCUCGAAGUGUACGUAUGAUCUGAGACAAGCCAAAAACCAAAUCAGAUACUACAGAUAGGAGCUGAGAAAGCAUUACAAAAGUUUAGGCUUGUACUGUGGUGAAGACGAAAGAAAGUAUAGUGCCCUUUGGCCAAAGUGCAAAGUUGACUAUGAUGUAAUAGGCAGCAGGAAUCUAUGAGUCAACCAGGUGUGCCAUGGCUUAGCUGUGCUCUGUGGGCCUACUGUCAUUCUUUGUGUUCCCCUGCCUUUUAUUUAUACCUUCUAAGAUGAUCCACUUCCUUCUACGAUCUCCAUUCAAUGUCCAAGUGGAGAUCAGUGAGGAUCUGUGUUCCUCAGAGUUUGUGAACAAGGAUAUCACACAACAACUAAAAUUAAAAGAAACAGUUAUUCCUCUGCAAUUAUUUCAAAUAUUAUGGUGUCAGCUGUGGAUUAAGCUGUAAAUGAUUCCAUUCUAUGAAGCUGCACUGGAAACUUGUGGGACUUGCUGAUGUAUGGCCUCAUUUGACCAGCCUGGUUCUGCCUCCAGAGAGCAGAAAGUAUGAGAGCAAAAACCAAGGAGCUGUGGACUUCCCCUCUUACAG